rnacentral:rRNA from 1 species
AGAGUUUGAUCAUGGCUCAGGAUGAACGCUAGCUACAGGCUUAACACAUGCAAGUCGAGGGGAAACGACAUCGAAAGCUUGCUUUUGAUGGGCGUCGACCGGCGCACGGGUGAGUAACGCGUAUCCAACCUGCCCACCACUUGGGGAUAACCUUGCGAAAGUAAGACUAAUACCCAAUGACGUCUCUAGAAGACAUCUGAAAGAGAUUAAAGAUUUAUCGGUGAUGGAUGGGGAUGCGUCUGAUUAGCUUGGUUGGCGGGGCAACGGGCCCACCAAGGCUACGAUCAGUAGGGGUUCUGAGAGGAAGGUCCCCCACAUUGGAACUGAGACACCGGUCCAAACUUCGUACGGGAGGCA